rnacentral:lncRNA from 1 species
UUUUUUUUUUUUUUGGCUUUUUGCCUUUUCUAGGGCCGCUUCCCGCGGCAUAUGGAGGUUCCCAGGCUAGGGGGGUCGAAUCGGAGCUGUAGCCACUGGCCUACGCCAGAGCCACAGCAACGCGGGAUCCGAGCCGCGUCUGCAACCUACACCACAGCUCAUGGCAACGCCAGAUCGUUAACCCACUGAGCAAGGGCAGGGACCUAACCCGCAACCUCAUGGUUCCUAGUCGGAUUCGUUAACCACUGCGCCACGACAGGAACUCCAGUUUAUAAUUUUGUUUAAUUUCGCAAUGAUAAAUUUAGGCACAGACCUCUCUCCAGUCCUCAUGAUAGUCAGAGUUUCCUCCAUCCCUGUCUCGCCAUAGCAAAGCAUUGGAAUGGUGAACAUUUUACAAAUUUAUUAAAGCAAAGGUACAUUUCCAGGGAGGGAGAGAGAGGAAUCAUGUGCACUCAGGUUAAAAAACGAGGGCCCAACUCACUCUGCUAUAGUCUUUAUACCCCCACUAUGCGACCUGAGUGGAGACCCAAUCUGAUCUCCUGAUUGGUCUUGGGCAGGAUGCCUUAUUUGCAUCAGGAACAGGUUAUGUAGAGGUGGGGUGAGGAAUGGGCGACAUUCCUUCUCUAGCAGGGAGUGAGUGGCCCAGGCUGGUAAAGGUGGGGGAAGGGGCAUCACAGGGAGACAAGGCCAGAGGCUUUGGGGGUUAAUCUCCUUGAAGGGGACUUGAAGCCUGUAACACUAGUACAGUGCAGGCUUACAUUAAUAAAAAGGCCUGCUAGUUAAUAAAAAAAAAAAUACAAAUGGCAAGUUUAAUUCUCCUGUAUAUGCUGUCCCCUUACACUUUUAUCCUUUUCAGAGCAAGAGAAAAAUCCUGAUCUAGAACAACUUCUAGAAAUUACUGAUCAUCUAGAUAUUUCCAAGCAGGCGUCAGCAUCCAUUUACAGGGCUACAGAAGCACCUUCAGGGGUACAGAGACAGCAAAGCCACAGCAUCUCCCUGCUUUCUUCAGGCUUAGAACUUGAGGCUAAACUCUAGUACCACGAUGAAAGCAAAACAGCCACACCCUGCUAGUUAGAAAACAAAAGACUGAGCAAGCAGAGACUGAUCCUUGCUUUAGUGCAAUUUUAACUGCUUUUGUGUUGAGGCUCCACGAAGGGGUGUGGUUAGUGUUACCUCAGUCUUGCAUAAGAAACUAGCAGCAUCCCUUCAAAAGAAAAAUGAUAAUUGCUCAGUGAAAAGAAAAACAACAUAAAAGGCCCUUCAGAGUAUUGUUUCAGAAACACCCACAUAAGAACAUAUAAUUAGGGGUAAACAAACCCAGCUCUGGCUGAAGGUUGAUAAACAUCUUUAAAUCUCAAACCAGUCUUCAAGAGUUCACGUCUCAUUAAAUCUGUCAUUGCUUUUGUGGCCAGCACUUCUCCCCUGCGUUUCCUAAGAGAGACAGGCAGAUAGACAGACAGACAGCUGCAUGGAGAGGAACCUCACAAUAGCCAUGCAAAUACAGGAGGUCUUUUAAGCUUCUUUAUGUGUGCUCCAUCAUCCCUCACCAUGGCAGAUGCAGGAAGGCAGACAGACACUGGGACUCGGGACUGAACAGGGAAAGGGAAGUGUGCACAGCUAAAGACAAACUGUUCAGGGGCUCAGAACAGAGGUUCGUUCUGGAAUCAGAGAGACUUGGGGGUCUCAAUUAUGGCCCCACGACAGAGGAACAAUGUGACAGUUGGAAAGGCACUUUUCAAUUUACUGAAAGUAAUGACAUCUAAAUUUCCAGGUGUUGUAAAGAUUAAAUGAGCUAGUAGGUGUAAAUCACUUAGCAGAGGGCCUGGCCCAUGGUCACGACGGUGAGCACUUAGUGACCCUGUGGGCCAGGGACUUUGCUAAAUGCUUUAAAUGUAUCAUUUCCCCUAGUCCUCAAAAUAAACUGUCCAGAGGAGAUGCAUUGAUUAUCUCCUCUUUAUAGGUGAGAAACUGGCGCUUUAGAGACAUUAGGUAAUUGGCCCAAGAAGGCGGCAGGGCCAGGCUUUCAGUCCACAUCUGGCUGACUCUAGAUGCCUCACUCCUUGCUCACAGAUAACGUAGUCAGAUGAUGGUUACUCUAUUUAUCAAGAACCCACUGUGGGUUGGGAGCAUCACAAAUUUCACAAAUAACUCAUUUAAUCCUUGUUACACUAGAAAGUCUGUGUUGCCUCUCAUUCUACAGAUAAGGAACUUAAGGCAUCAAGAGAUUAAGUAUGACUCUCAGGUAGGGCUGGCUUCAGGGUCUGUGACCUGUGCAAUUACAUGGGACCUUGUGCUUGGGCCUCAAGCUUGGUUUAACACUCUGAUGUUGCCAUCUUGAAAUUCUUAAGCAUUAUAUAUGAAUGUGCGUGUGCGUAAUAUUAAAACAUAUGUUUGACAAAAUAUUUAUUUUUGCAUUGUAUUCCACCUGUUAAGCAGCCAGUUCUGCCCUUGCCGAACUGCAAUUUAAGUUGGAAUUCGGGGACCCCACCUUUUGCUGAGGGCAGCAUUAGUGGUAUUGUGCCUUCAGGAUCCUAGAAAUAGAAGCCUACAAAUUAAUGUUUGCCAUUACUGCCUAAUGACAAGGACAGUCCUAGAAAGUGAAUGGAAUGGAGUUCUGUUGUGGCUCAUCGGUAACAAAAAACCGACUAGUAUCCAUGAGGAUGUGGGUUCGAUCCCUGGCCUCACUCAAUGGGCUAAGGAUCUGGCAUUGAUGUGACUGUGGCAUAGGCCAGCAGCUACAGCUCUGAAUCAACCCCGAGCCUGGAAACUUCCAUAUGCCU